rnacentral:lncRNA from 15 species
CAGAAACAUGCAGUUACUCAGUGUUCAAUAUGAACCUCUGACUGUUUGGCUCUGAUCAACUGGACUCUGCAUUCUUUCCUCUGUUAUGUAACACAAAACUCUUCCACUUAAAGAGGAAACUCCUGAGGACAGAACCAGUGUAAGCGGAAAGCUCUAUUGUUUUCACCAGCAGCAAGACCUGACAAUGGGCUCUCCUCACUUUUGUGGAUGAUAUCUUGAAAACCUGAUGGAUAUUCAUCGUCCUCAAAGACAGAUUCCUAUGUUAUGCCAGCUCAGCACCUUUCAAGAAUUCCUUGAACUUUAUUUCUUCUGCUGCUAAAAGGAUUUCAGAGAUAAUCUUUGGUAUUCGGCCAAUAACAGUGUGUGAAACCAGCGUUUAUACAAAUAAAGUAUACAUACACAAACUGCCUGAUACAUGAAGUCUCCAGAUCCUUCACACACUCAGCAGGUGUUCUGUAUCGCAGAUAUUGAUUCGUUUCUCUCUGAUAAAGCGUUCCUGCUGAGAGGUUGUGUAAUCCAGAGGAAUGUGAGCUGAACUCACAGGGAGGAACUGAACUCUGGCUGUGUUUGAGUACAACAUACACUCAGGCUCUGUUGCCAUGGUAACACAAUCAAAAGCUGUAUAUCAUCAGAGAUAUGUGAACUAAGCCCUGAUUAAAUAUAUAUUAUUAUUAUUAUUGAUUUAUUUAUGUACCAGGGACAAUAUACAUUAAUCAACAUUGUGGUUUACACUUCAAUGUAAAUGUGCCGGAGCUAGCUAAUAAGCUAACUUUCAUCCAUAGUCCCUGCAGUGGGUGACUCUAACUGAGAACACUGCCUGAUCUUGCUACAUCUGUAUUGUUCAGCACAGUCCCCUGUGGUAGCUGCCCUUGUUGCUCUACCGCUGCCGUCCUUCUGCUUUAUGAACUGGCUCAGUGGGGGAGGGACAAGCCCAUGAAAGACUUUAGAGACGAGGUAAGCAUCUGCAAGUGUAUAUAUAAAUAAUAAAAAAAUAUAAAUAAAAAGGCUUUUGGAAGAGUUUUGGUUUGAUGUAGCUCCUUUUGAAACAGGAAGUGGAGGCGGGAUGUAACACAGGGAAG